rnacentral:tRNA from 1 species
GCCUGGAUGGCUCAGUCAUUAAGCAUCUGACUUUGGCUCAGGUCAUGAUCUCUCGACUCGUGAGUUCGAAUCCCACAUCAGGUG